UACAUUCCACCUUGGACUUUCCCUUCUGAAUGGGUUUUCAGCACACAAUUGUACGGCCUUACUCAGUGCUUCUAAUCCUAGGUUUGCCUGUCUAGGCCACAGGUUAGCAACUACAGUUUGCUGCCUGUUCUUGUACAGCCCACAAGCUAAGAAUGUUUUUUGCAAUAUUUCAUGGUUAAAAAUGGAAGAAUAUUUCAGGGCUACGAAAAUUAUAUGAAUUCAAAAUUUGAUGAUCGUAAACAAAGUUUUACUGCAACAUAGUCAUCAUUUACAUAUUGUCUAUGGCUGCUACCAUGAAAGAACAGCAGAGUUGGAUAGUUGUGACAGAGACCUUAUGACCCACAAAACCUAAAAUAUUUACUGCCUGAUUUGCCAACACCUGCUCUAAAAGGUCUGUUCAGUGGUCACAAGAUAAAGCAUUAAAGCCAGUAAAUGCUCAUAUGAUUUCUUCUUGUGAUAUCCAGCAUGAAGCCACAUUACCAUUCCUCCCUUUUGCACAUACACAUCUGACUUCUCCUGGGCCUACAGAAUGCAGUUUGAUUCUUCUUUGCAUUUCCCAAUCUGUGCUGUACUGCUACAAUAGUGAUGCUGUAGCCACAACAGAAAAACUUACCCGUAGAAUUAGCAAUGAUUCAGAAUAUGAGCUGAGCUGGAUCUGAUGGCUGAACAACAUGGUACCACGGAAAGUGAAUUCCAUUGACAAGCAGGAAGAAGAGCCGCAUGAAAAGAGGAAGGUGAUAUUUCAGAUUUCCAGACUCCAGUUUUCUAUCAAGUUGGAUAAUAACUUUUUUUUUCAAGUUUCAGUUAUUUAUUAAUCAGUGUAAUCUCCCUAGUAGAUUACAUCAACAUGAUUUCAUGCAUUUAGAGGAGAAAUAUUUCCUGGUUAAGUGGAAAAUUGUGUGGAUUGCUUCUGGAAGACCUUCAUUCUAAAGCAGCUUUAUAGUGAAACAUUUCAUUUAGAAAUCUGG
rnacentral:lncRNA from 10 species